UGGCUCCCUGCUUCAGCUCGGCCCAGGCCUGUUAGGGCCACUUAGGGAGUGACCAGCGGAUAGAAGAUGGCUCUGUGUCUAACUCUGCCUUUCGAAUAAACAUGUCUUAGAAGUGAAGUAGAAAUCGAAGCUUCAUGACUGUUACGUCUCGCCCCUUCCACUUCUCCAGACACUAGCAAACAUACACACACAUGCAGACACUCAGACACACAUGGAAACACAUAUGCAAACAAUCACAGAAACACACACAUGCAAACACACCCAAAAGCAAACACACCCAAAAGCAAACACACACACAAGCAAACACUCAGAUACACACAUGCAAACACUCACACAUGCAAGCAUUCAAACACAUAUGCAAACACUCACACAUAUACACAUACACAAGGCACACUGCACCUGUUCCUAUGCUCAGAGUGUUGAGAGCCUCAUGGAAGGCAUCGGAGUCACCAGUCAGAGGAGCCUGCUCAGUACUGGGGAAACUCAGCCACAGGUUCAAGUCUGCUCACGUCCCCUGCAGUCAAGGGCAAGAGCUCAGAGGGACCAAACUGCAUCCAAGCAACUUUGCUGAACCAACAAUGAAGAGAAACACAGGGACAAAUUGAAAACCGCCACAGGCCCCAUGAGGACAAGCUCACACUGCAGACAUUCAUUCAAAAUUGCUACAGAACAGCAGGACACUCUGAGCCACGGCAAAGCAGAACAGGGGAUCCACGCACUGCGGCCCCUGAAUGUGCAGAUUCCACCCUUCUAGACCUGGACAGGAAAACAGUGCCGGCACCCGCAGCCCCAGAGAGCUGAUUCCUAUGUCACACGGAGAAAUGGAAGAGAUAACAUUGAACUAUUAGAAUUUCUGCCAAGGACACCUGGAAAGCCUGAGACAAGGUAGUCUACGCAAUUGAUGCAUCAGAGUCUGGUUCCCACCAGCCCAACACUGGCUGCUGUGUGUAUCUUUGGAGUAAACCAGUGGAUGACAGAUCUAUCUCUGUCUUUCUGCCUUUCAAAUAAAAUGAAAAUAAUUUAAAAUUUUCAAAAAAUAAAAUUCCUAUGAUCUUUUAAAACCACAUGUGGGAGACACCAAGAUAGCAGAAUAGGGAGAGGGAGGGAGCUUACUGAUCUAGUUUAGGGGCGGAUAGUUUUAAAAAAAACAUGGAGAGUGCAAUCUCAGGGAAGAGUUAGGGAGAAAAUGGCAGAAGAAACUCCAUGCAAAUGAGAGGGACACUGUGGAUCUACGUAGAAAGUGUGGACAUGCACAACUCAGGACCCCAGCAGCUGAGAGCCUCAGCACCAGCUUUGGAGAGUGAGGUGAGACCAGACUGCAGCAGUCCAAGCCACAGGCGAUAAAGCUGUGGGAAGAGCCCAGCAUGAGUCCUGCUUAGAGCCCUGCAGGGGACAGUAUUUCUGUCAACCUAGAAAGGAAAAUAAGGGGCUCGUUUCUCUCUCCCUGACCACCUGGCACUGGCAUCCUGUAACUAGCCGAGACAUUUUGGACAUAUGUGACUGCUGCACCAGCUUGUGUUCAUGCCCAGCAACUAGCAGAGAGAAGACACCAAAGUUUGGUUGGGAGAACUGCCAGGGAUCUGGGUACUUGGGACUGUGAAAACACUGGCUGCGUGUGAGGGUACAGGGUGUGGCUGGGUCUUUGGACAGUCGCUCCUCACACUUGGGGCUCCCUGAAUCCCUGGUGAGGAUCACUGCUGCGCGAUCCAUGCUCACACUGCUUGGUCCUCUGUGCGGUUCUUGUGGCAGCGCAAAUGAAUAUUAUACCCACUGGGGCUGGCAACCAGGCAUUGGUCAGCUUGGAGGAGAGGAGGUGAGUGUGAGACUAUGCCAAAAGAGCAGAUUAAAACUCCCCUCUGAUAAAAAAUAUUAAAAUAAGAGGAGAUUUACCAUGCCCAAUUUGAGUGUCACCUUAGACACUCCCCUCACCUUGAGCACUGAAUGAGCUCCCUGGCCACACCCAGCACUACCCCUGGGUAUUGACUGAAAGAGCAGACACUCCACCGACCCACAGAGGCAUAGCAUCUCCACAAACGCUUAAAAAUAAAUGCACCAAUUCAGGAAACAAGAAAACAUGACACCUCCAAAGGAACACAACAACACUUUGAUAUUAGUGAAAAAGAAGAGAUUGAAGAAAUGCUGGAAAUAGAGUUCAAAAAAUUGACUGUGGGAUUACUUCGAAGUAGUCAGAGGGGCUGGCGCUGUGGCAUAGCAUGUAAAGCCGCUGCCUGCAGUGCUGGCAUCCCAUAUGGAUGCCAGUUCCAGUCCUGGCUGCUCCACUUCUGAUCCAGCUCUCUGCUAUGGUCUAGGAAGAAGGUGGCCAAAGUCCUUGGGCCCCUGCACCUGUGUGGGAGACCGGAAGAAGCUCCUGGCUCCAGGCUUCAGACUGGCUCGGUGCCAGCUGUUGCAGCCACUUGGGGAGUGAACCAGAGAAAGGAAGAUUUUUCUUUCUCUCUGCCUCUGCCUCUCUGCAACUCUGCCUUUCAAAUAAAUAAAUAAAUAAAUAAAUAUUUAAAAAAAAAAGGGUCUCAGAGGCAAAGGCAGAUGUCCAGACCUGAGAAGCAGCUCUGAGGAAGCUGGGAUUCUCCUCUUCCCCAGCCCCUGUUCUGCCUGCACAGCUACUGAGACUGAGCCCUGCUCUAUGGGGAGCCCCAGGGGAGGAGGGAAUUUGCAUAAACACCACCAUCCCUGCCCCACAGCCUGAGAGGAAAUAAGAGAGGCCUGGGGAGCCCAGCUGUGCUGUGAGCUCUGGAGGCAGCGCUGGGUGACUCCACCAUGGCCUGGACCCCUCUCCUGCUCCCCCUCCUCACUCUCUGCACAGGCUGCGUGGCCUCCUAUGAGCUGACACAGCUGCCAUCAGUGUCAGUGUCCUUGGGACAGACAGCCAGGAUCACCUGUGGGGGAGACAGCAUUGAAAGUUAUGCUGUGCACUGGUACCAGCAGAAGCCAGGACUGGCCCCUGUGCUGCUCAUCUACAGGGAUAGCAAGUGGCCCUCAGGGAUCCCUGACCGCUUCUCUGGCUCCAACUCGGGGAACACUGCCACCCUGACCAUCAGCAGGGCCCAGGCGGGGGACGAGGCUGACUAUUACUGCCAGGUGUUUAACAGUGGUUUUGGAGCUCACAGUGACACAGGCAAAUGGGGAAGUGAGAUACAAACCUGUUCCCAUGAAGCACACUCUCCCUGCAGCCCAGAGGGAUUGGUGCCAGAGCCAUGAGCAGGUCAGGCCCAGCUCACCCAUUUCUGAGACCCCCAGGCUGCCCUCUCCUCCCAGCCUGCAGGCUAGCUCUACAGAGGCUUGGUCAGGGCUGGCAGAAUAUGGUUGUCCAGGUCCAGGUGUGUGCUGGGCUGCAGGGGGAACU